GACGAACGCUGGCGGCGUGCUUAACACAUGCAAGUCGAACGGAAAGGCCCUGCUUUUGUGGGGUGCUCGAGUGGCGAACGGGUGUGUAACACGUGAGUAACCUGCCCUUGACUUUGGGAUAACUUCAGACAACUGGGGCUAAUACCGGCUAGGAGCUCCUGCUGCAUGGGGGGGUUUGGACAGUUUCGGCGGUUGGGGAUCGACUCGCGGCUUAUUAGCUUGUUGGUGGGCGAGUUGCUUACCAAGGCUUUGGCGGGUCGCCGGCAUGAGAGGUGAGACAGCCACAUGGGGACUGAGAUACGGAGCAGACGCGUACGGGAGGCAGCAGUGGAGAAUAUGGCACAAUGGGGGGGAGUGUGAGACGGAAACGCCGCGAUCGGGAUGACGGCCUUCGUGGGGUAAACGGCAGUCGCCUGUGACGAAGCGGGAGUGACGGUAAUAGGUAAAGAAGCACCGGCUAACUACGUG
rnacentral:rRNA from 1 species